rnacentral:rRNA from 1 species
GGCGUAACGCGUGGGAAUCUGCCCUCUGGUACGGAAUAACUCAGGGAAACUUGAGCUAAUACCGUAUAAUGACUUCGGUCCAAAGAUUUAUCGCCUGAGGAUGAGCCCGCGUAGGAUUAGCUUGUUGGUGAGGUAAAAGCUCACCAAGGCGACGAUCCUUAGCUGGUCUGAGAGGAUGAUCAGCCACACUGGGACUGAGACACGGCCCAGACUCCUACGGGAGGCAGCAGUGGGGAAUAUUGGACAAUGGGCGAAAGCCUGAUCCAGCAAUGCCGCGUGAGUGAUGAAGGCCUUAGGGUUGUAA